rnacentral:lncRNA from 1 species
GGUGUUUAUGCUUUGGCCUCCUUGCUGUAUCCUGUAGGCUGGCAGAAAUCAGGCCAACUGAGUAAUUGCUAUAAUGCAUUCCCUUUUCAUAAUAUCUGCACUGAAUCUUUGUUGCUUUGCACUUCAGUUUGCAUUCCAGCAUUCUUUCAUGCCAAGCCUGGUGAUUACUUUAAGUCCCUGAGCUACAGGCAUAAUUAUCUUUCAAGAAGUCAUUGGGGACUCCUGAGAGGAAGGAGGAAGAUGGAGAGAAGAAUGCUAGAGGAAGGAUUAAGGGUAGACUCUUCACUGAAUCAGUGUCAAUCCCUGGAAAUUUGCUGCAAACCUUCACAUAGCACUGUGCUCUGUCAGCUCUGGCUGUUGGUAGCCACGUUUGUCAGCAGGAAGGAAGAACCUACCCAAGAACAAAGUCAACACAGAAAUGAAAAGGAAAUAUAGAUUCCUCUCGGUGUCCACUGAGAACAUGCAUCUAGCUAUUUCUGGAUCUACAAUAGAAUUUCAGCCAGCCUGACUUUCGUGUCUGUCAUAAGCCAUCAAAGAUGGAUGAGUGUGGUGGACUCGGGGAUCUACUGCCCGCCUUCAGGGUGUGUGGACAGUAGGCAGUCUCCAGUGACAGUUCGUUCAUGGUCGGCUUCAGCAUCAAGGAACCCACUUUCCUGAGGUCAUGCCCUGCCCAGAGCAACCAAAAUUGGAUGAUUACACAGAGUGAAAGUGGAGGGGCUUAGCAAGAAUGGGGCAUUUUGGACAGUUAGUACUCACUCCAGAGCUCCUUGCAGAGUUGGAGACAUGGCUAUUAUGCCUCCUUCACAGUUUAGCUUUCCCCGCAUGCAGCCCUGUCCCCUCCUCUUCCCUUACAGAUGUUAAUCUUGAACCCACAUCUUGCACUCCACGCUCUCAGUGUCUGUCUCCAGAAAACCCACCCUGACAUAAUAAUAAACAGAUGUCCAUUAAAUACAAAGUCUAUGUAGCAAAAAGCAGGAUAAACUUUCAGAUUAAAAAUCAGCAUGUAGAUUUAUAGUUAUGAAUGAGGGGAGGAUGGGAACAAAAAGGCAAUACGGACAAUUAAAGAUAGCUGCGUCAGGCUGCAGGGUAAUUUUCUAAAGUUAUAUUGUUGUUUAUAUGCUAAAGAACCCUUCUAAAACACGCCUUCCUGAAGGUUUCCAUAAUACCUAAGCAAUAAAGAUAUUCCAAGGAAUGGAUAAACUUAUAUUUCUUCUAUUCAAAAAUUAAUAGAAUCUAAUCUGAAAUUUAGACAUUGGAAAUACAAUGGAAUUAUUUGCUGAAUAAAUUGAUCAUUUAUUUUCUGGACUUUGAUAUGUAAAUGUUCAAAUUAGUAUAAGUUAAAUGUAGUGAUGAAAGGCGAGGAUAAACUUUAAAUAAGCUUUAUAAUGGUGGAUACAACAAAGAACUUCAGUAAAAAAGAAAACAAAUGGUAAGAGGAAAAUUGGGGCAAGAUAUUGGCUCAACGAAUUCUACAACACAUUGAUGAAUUUUAUUAAAGUUUUAAAAAUGAGUUUCAUAAUAAGCUAGUCCAGAUUCUAC